AAGAUAUUUUUGUUUGUUUAAAAAAAAAAAAAGAGAAACUAGCAUGAAUAGAAUGAGUUUGAGAUCUCACAUAAUUUUAUUAUAUCAAAAUCUUGUGAAGCAAGUAUUAUAUAAGGCAAAUUAUUAAAAGCUCGAGGAUGACAUAAUCGAUGUUCUUUUAAAGUUAUUGAUCAAGUAAAGUUAAUUUCGAGGACGAAAUUAUUUUAAGGAUGGG
rnacentral:lncRNA from 1 species